rnacentral:rRNA from 1 species
AGCUAAUAGAUACCCUGGUAGUCCACGCCCUAAGCGAUGUCUACUAGUUGUUGGUGGAGUAAAAAUCCAUGAGUAAACGCAGCUAACGCGUGAAGUAGACCGCCUGGGGAGUACGGUCGCAAGAUUAAAACUCAAAGGAAUUGACGGAGGCCCGCACAAGCGGUGGAUUAUGUGGAUUAAUUCGAUGCAACGCGAAAAACCUUACCUGGCCUUGACAUGCCACUAACGAAGCAGAGAUGCAUUAGGUGCCCGUAAGGGAAAGUGGACACAGGUGCUGCAUGGCUGUCGUCAGCUCGUGUCGUGAGAUGUUGGGUUAAGUCCCGCAACGAGCGCAACCCUUGCCAUUAAUUGCCAUCAUUUAGUUGGGCACUUUAAAUGGGACUGCCGGUGACAAACCGGAGGAAGGUGGGGAUGACGUCAAGUCCUCAUGGCCCUUAUGGCCAGGGCUUCACACGUAAUACAAUGGUCGGUACAGAGAGUUGCCAACCCGCGAGGGGGAGCUAACCUCAGAAAGCCGAUCGUAGUCCGGAUUGUUCU